GUGGGGAAUAUUGGACAAUGGGCGAAAGCCUGAUCCAGCCAUGCCGCGUGUGUGAAGAAGGUCUUCGGAUUGUAAAGCACUUUAAGCGAGGAGGAGGCUACCGAGAUUAAUACUCUUGGAUAGUGGACGUUACUCGCAGAAUAAGCACCGGCUAACUCUGUGCCAGCAGCCGCGGUAAUACAGAGGGUGCAAGCGUUAAUCGGAUUUACUGGGCGUAAAGCGCGCGUAGGUGGCCAAUUAAGUCAAAUGUGAAAUCCCCGAGCUUAACUUGGGAAUUGCAUUCGAUACUGGUUGGCUAGAGUAUGGGAGAGGAUGGUAGAAUUCCAGGUGUAGCGGUGAAAUGCGUAGAGAUCUGGAGGAAUACCGAUGGCGAAGGCAGCCAUCUGGCCUAAUACUGACACUGAGGUGCGAAAGCAUGGGGAGCAAACAGGAUUAGAAACCCGUGUAGUCC
rnacentral:rRNA from 1 species